AACGAACGCUGGCGGCAGGCUUAACACAUGCAAGUCGAGCGCCCCGCAAGGGGAGCGGCAGACGGGUGAGUAACGCGUGGGAAUCUACCCAUCUCUACGGAAUAACGCAUGGAAACGUGUGCUAUUACCGUAUACGUCCUUCGUGGGAAAGAUUUAUCGGAGAUGGAUGAGCCCGCGUUGGAUUAGCUAGUUGGUUGGGUAAAGGCCUACCAAGGCGAAGAUCCAUAGCUGGUCUGAGAGGAUGAACAGCCACACUGGGACUGAGACACGGCCCAGACUGCUACGGGAGGCAGCAGUGUGGUAUGUUGGACACUGGGCGGAAGCCUGAUCAAGCCAUGCCGCGUGAGUGAUGAAGGCCCUAGGGUUGUAAAGCUCUUUCACCGGUGAGGAUAAUGACGGUAACCGGAGAAGAAGCCCCGGCUAAGUUCGUGCAAGCCGCCGCAGUAAUAC
rnacentral:rRNA from 1 species